AUCCAACUGACGAGCCCUAAAUAAGACUAAGCGCGCGUCAAGCUGGAU
rnacentral:hammerhead_ribozyme from 1 species